AUGGUUUAUUGUGGUUUACUUCAAGUGAUCAGUUCCUACGAGUUAGCGGGUCUGGGUGCAAAAAGAUGUGGCAAUGGGUCAGAUUCGAAUAGGAUUGAUACCGAAACACUUCUGAUUUAAGUUUAAAUAGAUUAGCUUCAUGGUGAACCGCUUCUGAUUUAAAUUUAAAAAUGAUCAACCCGAACCCGAGUGGGUCCAUUUGGUUUGGCGGAACCUGGUCAAAAUCCCGGUCUUCCUACCUCCAGACAGCUCGUGCUCUAAUUCCUUUCAAAGCCGAGCAAAGCG
rnacentral:lncRNA from 1 species